CUGAGAAGAGCCCUGAGAGAGGAGCCGCGCUGAGAAGAGCCGCGCCGAGGGGAGCCUCCGCUGGUGUGCUGCCAGUGUCGCCUCUGCUCUGCUUCUGUGUCCGCUGCAUGGCUUGUGUCGCCCGCCGCUCAGCAUCGUCUGUGGCGCUGCAGGAGGAGAGCUAACGCUAACGUCAACCCAACCUGUCUGCUGCGAGGCAACGUUUCACCAAGAGCCACGUUGUUGUCUGGUGGCGGAUGUCUCGUCGCCUCCCUCUGAGGUUGGAGGCCAGUGGGAGCGGAGAGGAGGCUCUGCAGCAGCAGUGAUGCGGACUACAGCGGCCGGCUGCAGGAUGAGCGUGGGCGCGCUUCUCAACGGGCUGCUGGUCUCCGUAGUCGCAGCUCUGCUUUGGAAGUAUUCCAAGCUGAGUGAGCACGCUGCCCUGCUGGAGGAAGAGCUGCACAUGACACGGCAGUCCCAGGAGCUUUCGCAGGCCCACAUCGACUACCAUGUUGCCCUGCAGGCCCUUCAGGAGCACGGCACCCGCAUGGUCUGCACCGGCAAGAUGCACACCGACCGCAUCUGCCGCUUUGACUACCUCUGCUACUGCUCGGAGGCAGAGGAGUUUGUGUUCUUCCACUCCAACUCCUCUGUCAUGUUGCCCAACCUGGGGUCGAGGCGCUUCCAACCUGCCCUGCUGGACCUGUCCUCAGUAGAGGACCACAACACCCAGUACUUUAACUUUUUAGAGCUCCCAGUGGCUGCUUUAAAGUUCAUGCCCAAGCCUGUGUUCGUACCAGAUGUGACACUAAUCCUUAACCGGUUUAAUCCAGACAACCUAAUGCAUGUGUUCCAUGAUGACCUGAUCCCAGCCUUCUACACUAUGAAACAGUAUUCCGACUUGGAUGAUGAGGCGCGCUUGGUUUUUAUGGAGGGCUGGGCUGAAGGCCCACACUUUGACCUCUACAGACUUCUCAGCAGCAAGCAGCCGCUGCUCAAAGAACAGCUGAGGAACUUUGGCAAGCUCAUGUGUUUUACUAAAUCUUACGUUGGCCUGUCCAAGAUGACCACCUGGUACCAGUACGGUUUUGUUCAACCCCAGGGGCCCAAAGCCAACAUGUUGGUCUCCGGAAAUGAGAUCCGGCAGUUUGCCAGGGCUCUAAUGGAGAAAAUGAACAUCACAAGGGGGGAGGAAAUGAAGAAGGAUGGAGGGAAUGCUGAAGAUGAUAAAGAGAAAAAGGCUGAAUACAUAGUUGUGUUUAGUCGUUCAGCAACAAGGCUGAUCGUGAAUGAAGCGGAGCUAAUCAUGGCGCUGGCCCAGGAGUUCCAGAUGAGAGUUGUGACAGUGUCCCUGGAGGAACAGUCUUUCCCCGGUAUCGUCCAGGUGAUCAGCAGGGCUUCCAUGUUGGUCAGUAUGCAUGGGGCUCAGCUGAUCACCUCUCUCUUCCUUCCCAGAGGAGCUGCCGUGGUGGAGCUGUUCCCUUUUGCAGUGAACCCAGAGCAGUACACCCCAUAUAAAACCCUAGCCACCCUCCCAGGCAUGGACCUUCACUACGUCUCCUGGAGGAACACCAAGGAGGAGAACACCAUCACCCACCCAGACCGACCCUGGGAACAAGGGGGCAUCGCCCACUUGGAGAAGGAGGAGCGAGAGCGAAUACUGGCGAGUAAAGAUGUCCCCCGGCACCUGUGCUGCCGCAACCCAGAGUGGCUCUACCGGAUCUACCAGGACACUUUGGUGGACAUCCCUUCCUUUGUGGAAGUCCUCAAAGAGGGCAUGAAGACAAAGCCCAGCGUGAAGAAGUCAAAGUCGACCAGCACAGUCCACCCAGGCCGGGUCAGAGAAGCCCAGUGUCAGACCUUAGUCCAAACCCCUAACGAGGCUAAACUCACCGUCUCCUGGCAGAUCCCGUGGAAUCUGAAGUACCUGAAGGUGAGAGAGGUGAAGUACGAGGUGUGGAUCCAGGAGCAGGGAGAGAACACCUACAUGCCUUACAUCCUCCCCCAGCAGAACUACACCUUUUCAGAGAACAUUAAGCCCUUCACCACCUACCUGGUGUGGGUCAGGUGCAUCUUCAACAAGAACCUCCUGGGCCCCUUCGCAGAUGUUCUGAUGUGCAGGACCUAACCCAAACACUUCUACACAAAGCUUGUUCUAGACUAUCAGUUGGAACAGUGGAGUGGAGUGUUCGCUUACAGUUUGUCCAGUUAUUUGUCAUAUCCGUCCAGUCCUAGAGCAGGCUGCUGAACUCUUGCCCAGCACUGUUUCCUUGGCCAACACAGACAACAUAGAUACUUCUGCUAGAACUGCAAAAGACUGAACCCCAGGGUCAGAACUCAACGGCAUCGGCCGUUAAUGAAUGGAAAGUGUAUUUCCUGUACCUAUGAAAGAAGUGAAAGUGCUCUACUGAAAAUACCAGAACUUAAAUCAGCAGAUUUAUUUAUGUGCAAAUAAUAUAUAACAUGUUUUUUACAUAUAAGUCCAAACACUGGUUCUUUACCUUUUACAGUAUGCAAUAUAGCUUUCCUGUGAAGAUCAUAAAAAGAUUUUAGACUAGCAAGAUUUGUAAUGUUUUCUGACUUAUCCAGUGUCUCCUGUGUGCGUGAUACCUGUGUGGCUUAGUUUACCUACCAGCUGUCUGAUUCCAUACACCAUUAUCUGCCGAACCUAGCCAAAACCAAAGCAACAUUUUCCAUCAUUCACAGCCUAUUACUUUUUCAUGUUCUACAUCUUUCACACUUCUAAUGUUGGCUCAGAUUUAUACAGUUUUAAAUCUAGUCUCUAAAGACAUUGUAAAGGAUUGGUGUAAGAGAACUGUCAAGCAAGAGUUUUCAUGAAUGCCACAGUAAUCAAUGUUUCUGACAUAGGUGGGAGCAUUUUGUGAUGAAAGAUCUUCAAACUGUUCUCUUCCAAGUGUUUGUGUUUCCACAGUGCCCAGCCGCAAAUAAUCAGUUUUACUGCGUAAAUAAAAGAUUUCUCUCUAAUUGGCACUAAUUACAACCAUAACUAUUAUAAUUUGAGUGGAGAGUGAAUUGAGUACGCCAGGCUAUAAUUAGUAGACAGUCAGAUUUUACUGCAUUUCCAUUAUGAUAAGAAGGCCUGUUGCUGCGUAGGAUUAACUAAAAUGAAAUUCCCAGCAAUGUGUCUUAUUUUUCUCCGAGGUUUUUCAGCUGUUAAGAAGAAUGUUGAGAUUGAAACAGACGUGAAGCUGGCUGUUUCUAAGAAAGUGCUGCUUGUUGGUUGACUCUGUGUAUGUGUGUGUGUGUGUGUGUGUGUGUGUGUUGUUGUU